rnacentral:tRNA from 1 species
GGGGAUUUAGCUCAGUGGCAGAGCACUUGCCUAGCAAGCGCAAGGCCCUGGGUUCGGUCCCCAGCUCCA